UUACGGCCAUAUCAUGUUGAAACACUGGUUUUCGUACAAUCACUGAAGUUAAGCAACAUUGAGCCUGGUCAGUACCUAGAUGGGUGACCACUUAGGAAUAUCAGGUGUUGUAA